rnacentral:lncRNA from 10 species
AGAGAUCACUUGGUGAGAGAGGAAGGGAGCAAGCAGAAGAGAAGGAGGAGCCAGACUCUUUUUAACAACCAAAUCUUGUGGGACCUAAGAGUAAGAACUCACUGAUUACCACAAGAAUGGCACCGUGCCAUUCAUGAGCCAUCUGCCCUCAUGACAAAACACCCCCCACGAGACCCCACCUUCAACACUGGGGAUCAAAUUUCAACAUGUGAUUUGAAGGAGACAAGUAUCCAAACUGUAUCAUAGGCAAAGGGAUCAGACAACUAAGUGGCCAAGAGAAAGAGAAGCCAAGGAAGAAACCAGAGAAAAGCAGUUGGAGAAGCAAGAAGGCAACCAGAAGUGGCCUUGGUACAGCUGUGAUGGGGAGACAAUGACGAAACAGCAGGAACUGGCACUGAGAGUUAUUGGUGUAGCUUGGGCUCUCCCCUCAUCAUCCUCUCCAGCUGGGAGUCAUGUGACAGAAGCAAGAAGCCUGUCACAGCGCACAUGUAAAAGAGCAAACUCCAGACACACACGUCUUAUCUGUGCUGACGGCCCACCUUGGUGACUGGAAAUGACACCAUCCAAUUUUUUCUGGCCGCAAUGUUGCACCCCUGAUUUUUUCCUUCAUAUGACAGACUUCACAGCAAAUACUCCUACUGAGUCCAAACAACCGCUACGAUUGAGAACAAGCAUGAAUCCGCCACCCACCUUCUCCUGGAAAUAAGGUUAUUGGGUUGCUGAACUCCCAUGAACCAAAAAGAAAACACUGAAUGGUAUCCAAACCAGCCUGGAAAGGACAGCGAGAAAAGCCAGAACCAAGGCUGACCAGCCUGAAUGCUGGUAAAUGUUAUCAAGAUUUCUCUAUUCAUGCUACUCAACAUCCCAAAAAGAAUCAGCAUAAGGCCACAAACUCAACAAAAUUCCUUCUCCUGUUCAUUAAACUCCUGUCCUG